CGAUGUCCGAAUGGGGAAACCCACCCGUCAUCAGGCGGGUAUCGUUACCUGAAUACAUAGGGUAGCGAGGCGAACCGGGAGAACUGAAACAUCUAAGUACCCCGAGGAAAAGAAAUCAACCGAGAUUUCCUUAGUAGCGGCGAGCGAACGGGAAUUAGCCCUUAAGUGGUUUGUAAGUUAGUGGAAGCUACUGGAAAGUAGCACGAUACAGGGUGAUAGUCCCGUACACGAAAACGAACUUAUCAUGAAAUCGAGUAGGACGGCACACGUGAAACGUUGUCUGAACAUGGGGGGACCAUCCUCCAAGGCUAAAUACUCCUAACUGACCGAUAGUGAACCAGUACCGUGAGGGAAAGGCGAAAAGAACCCCUGUGAGGGGAGUGAAAUAGAACCUGAAACCGCAUACGUACAAGCAGUGAAAGCCGGAUUUAGUCCGGUGAUUGCGUACCUUUUGUAUAAUGGGUCAGCGACUUAUAUUCUGUAGCAAGGUUAACCGACUAGGGGAGCCGUAGCGAAAGCGAGUGUUAACUGCGCGUUUAGUUGCAGGGUAUAGACCCGAAACCCGGCGAUCUACCCAUGGGCAGGUUGAAGGUUGAGUAACAUCAACUGGAGGACCGAACACACGUAUGUUGAAAAAUGCGGUGAUGACUUGUGGGUCGGAGUGAAAGGCUAAUCAAGCCGGGAGAUAGCUGGUUCUCCCCGAAAUCUAUUUAGGUAGAGCCUCGCACGAACACCAUUGGGGGUAGAGCACUGUUAAGGCUAGGGGGUCAUCCCGACUUACCAACCCUUUGCAAACUCCGAAUACCAAUGAGUGAUAUGCGGGAGACACACUACGGGUGCUAACGUCCGUAGUGAAGAGGGAAACAACCCAGACCGCCAGCUAAGGUCCCAAAGUACUAGUUAAGUGGGAAACGAUGUGGAAAGGCAUAGACAGCUAGGAGGUUGGCUUAGAAGCAGCCAUCCUUUAAAGAAAGCGUAAUAGCUCACUAGUCGAGUCGGUCUGCGCGGAAGAUGUAACGGGGCUAAACUAGUCACCGAAGCUGCGGAUU
rnacentral:rRNA from 1 species